GUGGCAAACUGGAGCUGCAGUGUUGGCUGCCUCCCCUUCCCUGAAGAGCUCAGUUGUCUUAGGCAGCAGGAACUCAGCAGUCUUAUGCAGUCUCCAGCUGAGUGGCUGCUGAGAUAAUCUGCACAGCUCUGUGCUUGGGACCCAGGGCACAGUGGUGUGGGCUCAUGAAGGGGAUCUCCUGAUCUGCAGGCUGCACAGAUUCAUAUAAAAAGUGUAGUUUCCUAAGCAGCAUAGUGCGAUCACUCACUGUCUUCCUUGCCUGAAGGUGGGAGCUCCCCUUGCUCCAUGUGGCUGGAUGUUCGAAGACUACCAAACUUUCCAUAAAAUGGAACCAGCAGCUGGAUGCACCAGCACCAGAAGCCAGGUCAGUGGGGAUGCAGGCAGCCAGGGCCAGAAAAAAGGGACUGUGAACCAGUUGUGCAACCU
rnacentral:lncRNA from 1 species